UAAGGAAUAUUGGUCAAUGGGCGCAAGCCUGAACCAGCCAUGCCGCGUGCAGGAUGAAGGCCUUAUGGGUUGUAAACUGCUUUUUUACGGGAAUAAAAAACUUCUGCGGAAGGAAUUGAGCGUACCGUAAGAAUAAGUACCGGCUAACUCCGUGCCAGCAGCCGCGGUAAUACGGAGGGUGCAAACGUUAUCCGGAUUUACUGGGUUUAAAGGGUGCGUAGGCGGCUUUUUAAGUCAGUGGUGAAAGCCUUGACGCUUAACGUCAGAAUUGCCAUUGAUACUGAAAGGCUUGAGUAUAGACGAGGUAGGCAGAAUUUAUGGUGUAGCGGUGAAAUGCGUAGAUACCAUAAGGAAUUCCAAUAGCGAAGGCAGCUUACUAGUCUUUUACUGACGCUGAGGCACGAAAGCGUGGGGAGCAAACAGG
rnacentral:rRNA from 1 species